rnacentral:rRNA from 1 species
AGCGAACGCUGGCGGCAGGCCUAACGCAUGCAAGUCGAACGAACUCUUCGGAGUUAGUGGCGGACGGGUGAGUAACACGUGGGAACGUGCCUUUUGGUUCGGAAUAACUCAGGGAAACUUGUGCUAAUACCGAAUGUGCCCUUCGGGGGAAAGAUUUAUCGCCAUUAGAGCGGCCCGCGUCUGAUUAGCUAGUUGGUGAGGUAACGGCUCACCAAGGCGACGAUCAGUAGCUGGUCUGAGAGGAUGACCAGCCACACUGGGACUGAGACACGGCCCAGACUCCUACGGGAGGCAGCAGUGGGGAAUCUUGCGCAAUGGGCGAAAGCCUGACGCAGCCAUGCCGCGUGAAUGAUGAAGGCCUUAGGAUUGUAAAAUUCUUUCACCGGGGACGAUAAUGACGGUACCCGGAGAAGAAGCCCCGGCUAACUUCGUG